rnacentral:rRNA from 1 species
UGGGGAAUAUUGGACAAUGGGGGGAACCCUGAUCCAGCCAUGCCGCGUGUGUGAAGAAGGCCUUAUGGUUGUAAAGCACUUUAAGCGAGGAGGAGGGUACUGGUAUUAAUACUACCAGCUACUGGACGUUACUCGCAGAAUAAGCACCGGCUAACUCUGUGCCAGCAGCCGCGGUAAUACAGAGGGUGCGAGCGUUAAUCGGAUUUACUGGGCGUAAAGCGUGCGUAGGCGGCUAAUUGAGUCGGAUGUGAAAUCCCCGAGCUUAACUUGGGAAUUGCAUUCGAUACUGGUUAGCUAGAGUGUGGGAGAGGAUGGUAGAAUUCCAGGUGUAGCGGUGAAAUGCGUAGAGAUCUGGAGGAAUACCGAUGGCGAAGGCAGCCAUCUGGCCUAACACUGACACUGAGGUGCGAAAGCGUGGGGAGCAAACAGG